AGCUCGACGUGAGGCAGCGUUAGCGACGAGCUCACCAGGUAGGUUCCUGCAAAGGGGAUUUAAGAGAUGUUCGGAUCUAGCUAAACAUGAAGACUGAACUGAUAGAUUUUGUCUACUACCUAUCAAGUUCAUUCGUCCACAUUUAUCUCCUUUUAUGGUCAGUGGUGAAGAGGGCACCGCAUCCGGGUACCAAAGCCAUCCAUGCCAUUUCGUACUCCUCUCAUCAUACACUUGAUCAUUUCUUUGUUGUGGAUGUCCGCGGCAAGAAUGAAGCAUGGACCUUCACGUCCCUAGGCAGAAAAGACAUACUGAUUUGAAGACCACCUCAAUUGUUUGGGAUCUGGAUUGUCUAUACAUAUUUUGUUGGUGGUUGGCCGAUUUGGCCCAUCAUAAUUUUGUCCUGCUACCAUGCAAUUUUUUUCC